rnacentral:rRNA from 1 species
AACAGCCCGGUAGUUGAAAUGGCUUUCCCUCCAGAGUGGAUCCUGAGUACGGCGGAACACGUGAAAUUCCGUCGGAAUCCGGGAGGACCAUCUCCCAAGGCUAAAUACUCCCUAGUGACCGAUAGUGAACCAGUACCGUGAGGGAAAGGUGAAAAGCACCCCGGAAGGGGAGUGAAACAGUUCCUGAAACCGUGUGCCUACAAGUAGUUAGAGCCCGUUAAUGGGUGAUAGCGUGCCUUUUGUAGAAUGAACCGGCGAGUUACGAUUUGUUGCAAGGUUAAGCGGAAAAAGCGGAGCCGUAGCGAAAGCGAGUCUGAAUAGGGCGCAUAAGUAACAGGUCGUAGACCCGAAACCAGGUGAUCUACCCAUGUCCAGGAUGAAGGUAAGGUAAUACUUACUGGAGGUCCGAACCCACGCACGUUGAAAAGUGCGGGGAUGAGGUGUGGGUAGCGGAGAAAUUCCAAUCGAACUUGGAGAUAGCUGGUUCUCUCCGAAAUAGCUUUAGGGCUAGCCUCGAGGUAAAGAGUCAUGGAGGUAGAGCACUGUUUGGACUAGGGGCCCUUCUCGGGUUACCGAAUUCAGAUAAACUCCGAAUGCCAUGUACUUAUACUCGGGAGUCAGACUGCGAGUGAUAAGAUCCGUAGUCGAAAGGGAAACAGCCCAGACCACCAGUUAAGGUCCCCAAAUAUAUGUUAAGUGGAAAAGGAUGUGGGGUUGCUUAGACAACCAGGAUGUUGGCUUAGAAGCAGCCACCAUUGAAAGAGUGCGUAAUAGCUCACUGGUCGAGUGACCCCGCGCCGAAAAUGUACCGGGGCUAAACAUAUUACCGAAACUGUGGAUGAACCUCUUUAGAGGUUCGUGGUAGGAGAGCGUUCUAAGGGCGGUGAAGUCAGACCGGAAGGACUGGUGGAGCGCUUAGAAGUGAGAAUGCCGGUAUGAGUAGCGAAAGAAGGGUGAGAAUCCCUUCCACCGAAUAUCUAAGGUUUCCUGAGGAAGGCUCGUCCGCUCAGGGUUAGUCGGGACCUAAGCCGAGGCCGAUAGGCGUAGGCGAUGGACAACAGGUAGAGAUUCCUGUACCAGUGCUAAUUGUUUAACCGAUGGGGUGACACAGAAGGAUAGGGAAUCGCACGAAUGGAAAUGUGCGUCCAAGCAGUGAGUGUGAGAAGUAGGCAAAUCCGCUUCUCGCGAAGCAUGAGCUGUGAUGGGGAAGGAAAUUAAGUACGGAAGUUCCUGAUUUCACGCUGUCAAGAAAAGCCUCUAGGAAGAGUAGUACUGCCCGUACCGCAAACCGACACAGGUAGAUGAGGAGAGAAUCCUAAGGUGAGCGAGAGAACUCUCGUUAAGGAACUCGGCAAAAUGACCCCGUAACUUCGGGAGAAGGGGUGCUCUAUUAGGGUGCAAGCCCGAGAGAGCCGCAGUGAAUAGGCCCAGGCGACUGUUUAGCAAAAACACAGGUCUCUGCAAAACCGUAAGGUGACGUAUAGGGGCUGACGCCUGCCCGGUGCUGGAAGGUUAAGAGGAGUGCUUAGCUUCGGCGAAGGUACGAAUUGAAGCCCCAGUAAACGGCGGCCGUAACUAUAACGGUCCUAAGGUAGCGAAAUUCCUUGUCGGGUAAGUUCCGACCCGCACGAAAGGCGCAACGAUCUGGGCACUGUCUCAACGAGAGACUCGGUGAAAUUAUAGUACCUGUGAAGAUGCAGGUUACCCGCGACAGGACGGAAAGACCCCGUGGAGCUUUACUGCAACCUGAUAUGGAAUGUUUGUACCGCUUGUACAGGAUAGGUAGGAGCCGAAGAGACGUGUGCGCUAGCAUACGAGGAGGCAAUGGUGGGAUACUACCCUGGCUGUAUGACCAUUCUAACCCGCCACGCUUAGCGCGUGGGGAGACAGUGUCAGGUGGGCAGUUUGACUGGGGCGGUCGCCUCCUAAAGAGUAACGGAGGCGCCCAAAGGUUCCCUCAGAAUGGAUGGAAAUCAUUCGCAGAGUGUAAAGGCACAAGGGAGCUUGACUGCGAGACUGACAAGUCGAGCAGGGACGAAAGUCGGGCUUAGUGAUCCGGUGGUUCCGCAUGGAAGGGCCAUCGCUCAACGGAUAAAAGCUACCCCGGGGAUAACAGGCUUAUCUCCCCCAAGAGUCCACAUCGACGGGGAGGUUUGGCACCUCGAUGUCGGCUCGUCGCAUCCUGGGGCUGUAGUCGGUCCCAAGGGUUGGGCUGUUCGCCCAUUAAAGCGGCACGCGAGCUGGGUUCAGAACGUCGUGAGACAGUUCGGUCCCUAUCCGUCGCGGGCGCAGGAAAUUUGAGAGGAGCUGUCCUUAGUACGAGAGGACCGGGAUGGACACACCGCUGGUGUACCAGUUGUUCCGCCAGGAGCAUCGCUGGGUAGCUAUGUGUGGCAGGGAUAAACGCUGAAAGCAUCUAAGCGUGAAGCCCCCCUCAAGAUGAGAUUUCCCAUUUCUUCGGAAAGUAAGAUCCCUGAAAGAUGAUCAGGUAGAUAGGUUUGGAGUGGAAGUGUAGCGAUACAUGGAGCGGACAAAUACUAAUCGAUCGAGGACUUAACCAAAA